GCAGGAGGAGGAGCGGGAAAUUCCUUAGUGUAGUCGGUGAAAAUACGUAGAUAUUAUGAAGGGAGCCCCCAGUGGCGAAGGACGGCUCCCCUGGACUGUAAACUGACGUUGAGGCUCGAAAGACGUGGGGAGGCAAACAGGAUUAGAUACCCCUGGUAGUCCACCCCCGUAAAACGAAUGAUCACUAGGUGUGGGUGGGUGUGGACCCAUCGGUGCCGCAGCAAACGCAAUAAGUGAUCCACCUGGGGAGUACGUUCGCAAGAAUGAAACUUAAAGGAAUUGACGGGGACCCGCACCAGCGGUGGAGCAUGUGGUUUAAUCUGAAGCAACGCGAAGAACCUUACCAAGUCUUGACAUCCCAUCGAAGAGAGGGUAGAGCCUCUUGCCCUUCGGGGCGAUGGAGACAGGUGGUGCAUGGUUGUCGUCAGCUCGUGUCGUGAGAUGUUGGGUUAAGUCCCGCAACGAGCGCAACCCCUAUCUUUAGUAGCCAGCGAGCAGAGUCGGGCACUCUAGAGAGACUGCCGGGGAUAACCCGGAGGAAGGUGGGGAUGACGUCAAAUCAUCAUGCCACUUAUGAUUUGGGCUACACACGUGCUACAAUGGCGUAAACAAAGGGAAGCGAACCUGCGAGGGGGAGCAAAUCCCAGAAAUAACGUCCCAGUUCGGAUUGUAGUCUGCAACUCGACUACAUGAAGCUGGAAUCGCUAGUAAUCGCGGAUCAGAAUGCCGCGGUGAAUACGUUCCCGGGUCUUGUACACACCGCCCGUCA
rnacentral:rRNA from 1 species